GCGCCUGCUCCGGGGUGUGCUGAUGCGCUGAGAUGCAAACGGCCUGUGUUACAGGCCUGCUGCGAACCCGACGAACUUGAUCCGGUUCAUACCGGCGGAAGAAGAGCCGACCCUCCCAGU
rfam:Burkholderiales bacterium RIFCSPLOWO2_12_FTLL_65_40 rifcsplowo2_12_scaffold_367, whole genome shotgun sequence.